GACGAACCGUGCGAACGUUAUUCGGAAUCACUGGGCUUAAAGCGCGUGUAGGCGGGUCGCCACGUCGGAUGUUGAAAUCCCCCGGCUCAACCGGGGAAUAGGCACCGAUACGAGCGGCCUGGAGGGGAGUAGGGGGACCUGGAACUUCCGGUGGAGCGGUGAAAUGCGUUGAGAUCGGAAGGAACGCCCGUGGCGAAAGCGAGGUCCUGGGCUCUUACUGACGCUGAGACGCGAAAGCCAGGGGAGCAAACGGG
rnacentral:rRNA from 1 species